rnacentral:misc_RNA from 1 species
UUGAUUAUUUGUUUUUUUUCUCAGAGAUUCAUGUAAUACAAGAGUUUGUAACCUCCGGCGGCCGAAGCCGCCGAAGCAACGUAAAGGUAAGUUCACAGGGGUUGGAGUUUUUCAACUCAGUAAUGAUCCCUCCGCUGGUUCACCAACGGAGA